GAAAUCUACGAGAGUCUUCCAGGCCUGCUAAGCCCAAGAAGCCGUGGUUUAACUCCAUGGAGAUUUCG
rnacentral:tRNA from 1 species